GAUGAACGCUGGCGGCGCGCCUAACACAUGCAAGUCGAACGGUUAAAGCAUCUUCGGAUGUGCAUAAAGUGGCGAACGGCUGAGUAACACGUGGGCAACCUGCCCCUCGCAUCGGGACAGCCUCGGGAAACCGUGGUUAAUACCGGAUACUCCGUCCCCCCCGCAUGGGGGAGGCGGGAAAGCCCAGACGGCGAGGGAUGGGCCCGCGGCCUGUUAGCUUGUUGGUGGGGCAGUGGCCCACCAAGGCGAUGAUGGGUAGCCGGGUUGAGAGACCGACCGGCCAGAUUGGGACUGAGACACGGCCCAGACUCCUACGGGAGGCAGCAGUGGGGAAUCUUGCACAAUGGGCGAAAGCCUGAUGCAGCGACGCCGCGUGCGGGACGAAGGCCUUCGGGUCGUAAACCGCUUUCAGCAGGGACGAGGCCGCAAGGUGACGGACCUGCAGAAGAGCCCC
rnacentral:rRNA from 1 species